GGAGAGAUGACCGAGAUGGCUGAAGGUGCACGACUGGAAAUCGUGUUUACGUCAAAAGCGUAACGAGGGUUCGAAUCCCUCUCUCUCCGCCA
rnacentral:tRNA from 1 species